CACCUACGGGGGGCAGCAGUGAGGAAUAUUGGUCAAUGGACGGGAGCCUGAACCAGCCAAGCCGCGUGAGGGAAGAAGGUACAGCGUAUCGUAAACCUCUUUUGUCAGGGAACAAAGGCGGGGACUAGUCCCCGGAUGAGGGUACCUGAAGAAAAAGCAUCGGCUAACUACGUGCCAGCAGCCGCGGUAAUACGUAGGUGGCAAGCGUUGUCCGGAUUUACUGGGUGUAAAGGGCGUGCAGCCGGAGAGGCAAGUCAGAUGUGAAAUCCGCGGGCUCAACCCGCGAACUGCACUUGAAACUGCUU
rnacentral:rRNA from 1 species